AACGAACGCUGGCGGCAUGCCUAACACAUGCAAGUCGAACGAGACCUUCGGGGCUAGUGGCGCACGGGUGCGUAACGCGUGGGAACCUGCCCUUUGGUUCGGAAUAACUCCCCGAAAGGGGUGCUAAUACCGGAUAAUGUCUUCGGACCAAAGAUUUAUCGCCUUUGGAUGGGCCCGCGUUGGAUUAGCUAGUUGGUAGGGUAAAAGCCUACCAAGGCGACGAUCCAUAGCUGGUCUGAGAGGAUGAUCAGCCACACUGGGACUGAGACACGGCCCAGACUCCUACGGGAGGCAGCAGUGGGGAAUAUUGGACAAUGGGCGAAAGCCUGAUCCAGCAAUGCCGCGUGAGUGAUGAAGGCCUUAGGGUUGUAAAGCUCUUUUACCCGGGAUGAUAAUGACAGUACCGGGAGAAUAAGCCCCGGCUAACUCCGUG
rnacentral:rRNA from 1 species